CCUACGGGUGGCAGCAGUGGGGAAUUUUGGACAAUGGGCGCAAGCCUGAUCCAGCCAUGCCGCGUGCGGGAAGAAGGCCUUCGGGUUGGAAACCGCUUUUGUCAGGGAAGAAAAGGUUCUGGCUAAUACCUGGGACUCAGGACGGUACCUGAAGAAUAAGCACCGGCUAACUACGUGCCAGCAGCCGCGGUAAUACGUAGGGUGCAAGCGUUAAUCGGAAUUACUGGGCGGAAAGCGUGCGCAGGCGGUUAUGCAAGACAGAGGUGAAAUCCCCGGGCUCAACCUGGGAACUGCCUUUGUUACUGCAUGGCUAGAGUACGGUAGCGGGAGAUGGAAUGCAGAGUGUAGCAGUGAAAUGCGUAGAGAUGCGGAGGAACACCGAUGGCGAAGGCAAUCCCCUGGACCUGUACUGACGCUCAUGCACGAAAGCGUGGGGAGCAAACAGGAUUAGAUACCCUAGUAGUC
rnacentral:rRNA from 1 species